GACGAACGCUGGCGGCGUGCUUAACACAUGCAAGUCGAACGGAAAGGCCUCUUUCGGGGGGUACUCGAGUGGCGAACGGGUGAGUAACACGUGAGUAACCUGCCCUUGACUUUGGGAUAACUUCAGGAAACUGGGGCUAAUACCGGAUAGGAGCUCCUGCUGCAUGGUGGGGGUUGGAAAGUUUCGGCGGUUGGGGAUGGACUCGCGGCUUAUCAGCUUGUUGGUGGGGUAGUGGCUUACCAAGGCUUUGACGGGUAGCCGGCCUGAGAGGGUGACCGGCCACAUUGGGACUCAGAUACGGCCCAGACUCCUACGGGAGGCAGCAGUGGGGAAUAUUGCACAAUGGGUGGAAGCCUGAUGCAGCAACGCCGUGUGCGGGAUGACGGCCUUCGGGUUGUAAACCGCUUUCGCUCAUGACGAAGCUUUGUGUGACGGUAGUGGGUAAAGAAGCACCGGCUAACUACGUG
rnacentral:rRNA from 1 species